UUGUGGUUGAUUAGACUUCAGGUCAGAUUGAUGUUCAGUGGAGCCCUAACAGACAAAAUAUCUGCCAAUAACGACAGGGUAAGUUGUCUAAGGUCUAAUUACGCAACUUACGUGAAAAUACGUGUGUGGGUGUAAUAGAGAAAUGAACACUUACUCAGUUCACUCAAGCUGACUGGUUACAAAAUGGCUGUAAUGACUGUACGGUGUCAGUCCUGAUCUCAGUUGUUAUCACUCAUGGUUAUUAUUCUGUUUUUACAACCAAACAAGAAGACGAUCGAUCGACUCUCAUCACAUAGGACACUGGAAUAAACAGUGGAGGAUAAAGAGUCUGUGGACUGGGUGUACACCGAUCUUUCAUUGUGAAAUUCACACAGAGCAUCUGAAUACAAAUUAAUUAUGCCCAGGGUAUAGCAAUAGAAGGCAUUUGAAUCACAUAUAAUAGGAUUCAGUAUUAUAUUAUUGCAAAAUAACUAAUGAACACAAAUAAGAAGGAGCAUUUAAUACAUGUAGAACUGGGUUUAUUUAUAUGUAACUUAAGCUAGUAAAUGAUACCUUCACAUAUUUGCAACCUGUAAAUAAUUAAAAACUGCUCCAUAACAUGUUAUUUUUUGGUUUUAACUUCACAAUCAAUUUAGCGUAAUAAUGAUGUAAAUCUUAAGACGCUGAACUUUUAGAGCCCAGGCCAAGAUCUUCCUCUCAAUGAUUUUAGCCCGGGACACGUAAUCAGCGACAUCACCUCUCAGGAAAAAUGGAUAAUCUAAAGUGUCAGAACGUCAUAGCAGAGAUUUGUCUAACCAGACUAGUGCUCAUAUAAUAAACAGGGUUCAGCCGACUGUCCUUCACCGCUGUCAUCACCCUUCAUGGACUCCGCACACAUCGAGGACACACAACUGCACACAUAUCGGUUCACCUUAAUUCUUUUCAACGCAUUACAGAGGGAGUAAUAGCUCAAUGUCAGAGCGCCUUGAUGGCUAUGAAUGAUGAUGGUGGUGGUUCACCUCCAUCCACUGUGUCAUGCGUUCUUCCAGGAUGUAUUUCUGAUAGCUCAAUCUGAACUGAGCAUGAAACUAUGCUUUCUUCCUACUAUCACAAUCACUCUGCCACCUUAAGAAUUUUAUUCAAAUGUCAAGAACCUUCACUUGUGAUUUAUUAAAAGUCAUGUAGUUAAAAUGCAA